rnacentral:rRNA from 1 species
GAUGAACGCUGGCGGCGUGCCUAAUACAUGCAAGUCGAGCGAACAGAUGAGGAGCUUGCUCCUCUGACGUUAGCGGCGGACGGGUGAGUAACACGUGGAUAACCUACCUAUAAGACUGGGAUAACUUCGGGAAACCGGAGCUAAUACCGGAUAAUAUAUUGAACCGCAUGGUUCAAUAGUGAAAGACGGUUUUGCUGUCACUUAUAGAUGGAUCCGCGCCGCAUUAGCUAGUUGGAAAGGUAACGGCUUACCAAGGCAACGAUGCGUAGCCGACCGGAGAGGGUGAUAGGCCACACUGGAACUGAGACACGGACCAGACUCCUACGGGAGGCAGCAGUAGGGAAUCUUCCGCAAUGGGCGAAAGCCUGACGGAGCAACGCCGCGUGAGUGAUGAAGGUCUUCGGAGCGGAAAACUCUGUUAUUAGGGAAGAACAAAUGUGUAAGUAACUAUGCACGUCUUGACGGUACCUAAUCAGAAAGCCACGGCUAACUACGUG